rnacentral:rRNA from 1 species
UACGUAGGUGACAAGCGUUGUCCGGAUUUAUUGGGUUUAAAGGGUGCGUAGGCGGCCUUGUAAGUCAGUGCUGAAAUAUCCCGGCUUAACCGGGAGGGUGGCAUUGAUACUGCAGGGCUUGAGUAAAGUUGAGGUUGGCGGAAUUGACGGUGUAGCGGUGAAAUGCUUAGAUAUCGUCAAGAACACCGAUAGUGAAGACAGCUAACUAAGCUUUAACUGACGCUGAGGCACGAAAGUGUGGGGAUCAAACAGG